AUUGAACGCUGGCGGCAUGCUUUACACAUGCAAGUCGAACGGCAGCGCGGGCUUCGGCCUGGCGGCGAGUGGCGAACGGGUGAGUAAUACAUCGGAACGUGCCCAGUAGUGGGGGAUAGCUCGGCGAAAGCCGGAUUAAUACCGCAUACGACCUUAGGGUGAAAGCGGGGGAUCUUCGGACCUCGCGCUAUUGGAGCGGCCGAUGGCAGAUUAGCUAGUUGGUGGGGUAAAGGCCUACCAAGGCGACGAUCUGUAGCUGGUCUGAGAGGACGACCAGCCACACUGGGACUGAGACACGGCCCAGACUCCUACGGGAGGCAGCAGUGGGGAAUUUUGGACAAUGGGCGAAAGCCUGAUCCAGCAAUGCCGCGUGUGUGAUGAAGGCCUUCGGGUUGUAAAGCACUUUUGGCGGGAACGAAAAGGACUGUGCCAAUACCACGGUUUGAUGACGGUACCCGCAGAAUAAGCACCGGCUAACUACGUG
rnacentral:rRNA from 1 species